rnacentral:rRNA from 1 species
CUGCUUUGCUGACGAGUGGCGGACGGGUGAGUAAUGUCUGGGAAACUGCCUGAUGGAGGGGGAUAACUACUGGAAACGGUGGCUAAUACCGCAUAACGUCGCAAGACCAAAGAGGGGGACCUUCGGGCCUCUUGCCAUCAGAUGUGCCCAGAUGGGAUUAGCUUGUUGGUGAGGUAACGGCUCACCAAGGCGACGAUCCCUAGCUGGUCUGAGAGGAUGACCAGCCACACUGGAACUGAGACACGGUCCAGACUCCUACGGGAGGCAGCAGUGGGGAAUAUUGCACAAUGGGCGCAAGCCUGAUGCAGCCAUGCCGCGUGUAUGAAGAAGGCCUUCGGGUUGUAAAGUACUUUCAGCGGGGAGGAAGGUGUUGUGGUUAAUAACCGCAGCAAUUGACGUUACCCGCAGAAGAAGCACCGGCUAACUCCGUGCCAGCAGCCGCGGUAAUACGGAGGGUGCAAGCGUUAAUCGGAAUUACUGGGCGUAAAGCGCACGCAGGCGGUCUGUCAAGUCGGAUGUGAAAUCCCCGGGCUCAACCUGGGAACUGCAUUCGAAACUGGCAGGCUUGAGUCUUGUAGAGGGGGGUAGAAUUCCAGGUGUAGCGGUGAAAUGCGUAGAGAUCUGGAGGAAUACCGGUGGCGAAGGCGGCCCCCUGGACAAAGACUGACGCUCAGGUGCGAAAGCGUGGGGAGCAAACAGGAUUAGAUACCCUGGUAGUCCACGCCGUAAACGAUGUCUACUUGGAGGUUGUGCCCUUGAGGCGUGGCUUCCGGAGCUAACGCGUUAAGUAGACCGCCUGGGGAGUACGGCCGCAAGGUUAAAACUCAAAUGAAUUGACGGGGGCCCGCACAAGCGGUGGAGCAUGUGGUUUAAUUCGAUGCAACGCGAAGAACCUUACCUGGUCUUGACAUCCACAGAACUUUCCAGAGAUGGAUUGGUGCCUUCGGGAACUGUGAGACAGGUGCUGCAUGGCUGUCGUCAGCUCGUGUUGUGAAAUGUUGGGUUAAGUCCCGCAACGAGCGCAACCCUUAUCCUUUGUUGCCAGCGGUCCGGCCGGGAACUCAAAGGAGACUGCCAGUGAUAAACUGGAGGAAGGUGGGGAUGACGUCAAGUCAUCAUGGCCCUUACGACCAGGGCUACACACGUGCUACAAUGGCGCAUACAAAGAGAAGCGACCUCGCGAGAGCAAGCGGACCUCAUAAAGUGCGUCGUAGUCCGGAUUGGAGUCUGCAACUCGACUCCAUGAAGUCGGAAUCGCUAGUAAUCGUGGAUCAGAAUGCCACGGUGAAUACGUUCCCGGGCCUUGUACACACCGCCCGUCACACCAUGGGAGUGGGUUGCAAAAGAAGUAGGUAGCUUAACCUUCGGGAGGGCGCUUACCACUUUGUGAUUCAUGACUGGGGUGAAGUCGUAACAAGGUAACCGUAGGGGAACCUGCGGUUGGAUCACCUCCUUACCUUAAAGAAGC